rnacentral:tmRNA from 1 species
GGGGCUGCACUGGUUUCGACAUGGGUUCGGACGCGUAGCAGGGCAUGUCGAGGUUCUGAUCCUCGUAAAACAACAGAAAAAAAACUAACUGCAAACGACGAACGUUUCGCACUCGCCGCUUAAUCCGGUGAGCCUUGUAACAGUUGGCCGAUAGGCUGGGUUAGGGUGAUGGGGGUGUUAAAGCCUCCAAAGUCCUAGCUACAAGGUAACUCAUAUUGGCUGGCAUGACAUCGGGCACCUUGAUGUUGUGCGAGAUCUAAGGAUGCUGGUUUGAUGUUCAGCGUGUCGCUGCGCGGUUCAUCAGAUAAGACUCAAAUCAGACGACUACACAUGUAGAACUGCACGAAAAAGACUUGUGGACGCGGGUUCAAAUCCCGCCAGCUCCACCA